rnacentral:tRNA from 1 species
AAGGGUAUAGCUCAGUUAGAGUGCAUGCUUAGCAUGCAUAGGUCCUGGGUUCGAUCCCCACUACCUCUA